rnacentral:ncRNA from 1 species
UUUCUCUCGGGAUAGCUGGAGCUCGUGUGAGAAUUUUAUCAAGUAAAGCGAAUGAUUAGAGGCAUCGGGGGUGCAAUGUCCUCGACCUAUUCUCAAACUUUAUAUAGAUAAGCCGUCAAGGCAAGAAACUGGGACAGGGACUCGAAGUGGAACCGAGACUCGCACCA